UUGAAGCCCUCUCUCUCUCUCUCUCUCUCUCUAUAUAUAUAUAUAUAUAUAUAUAUAUAUAUGAGCAAACGAAGUGGAUGCUGGGAAACCCUAGCCGCAUACAGAGAAUAAAGAGGAGUAGGAGAACCAAAGCAAUUGCUGCGAAAACCCCAAGCAUUUUCAGGGCAGAGGGGCUGUUGUUGGCAGCCAUUGAAAUCCGAAGGAACUGAAAGAUCAAUCAGAAAAAAUAUUCAGAAACAAGAAGUCACUCACCAAUCAGAAAAAAUAUUCCGAAAUUAUUGUACAUUUUCAAUUAUAUACUUCGGAAUUAUUUAUAAAUAUUUGAUAUUUAAAUUUUGAUUUUUUAAAAUUAAAUUGGUUCUGUAGUGCUGAAUGUUUUACAAUUUCUCAGUACUUGAUAUCAGAGUAGUUUAUGGAAGCAAUGGAUAGAGUGUAACAAUGGAGUGUAGCAAGUAAUGGAAAACAAUAGAGGUAGUGAGAAACAAUGUAGGAACUAAGUUUUAAUUUUAAUUUUUUUU